UGUGUAACUCCGCCAUUGCUGGGUUCCAAGCCCCAGAUGAGAAAGGAGGAGGACACA
rnacentral:ribozyme from 2 species